GGUCUAAAUUGUUGAUUUUAAAUACCAUGGAACUUUACUCCUUCAAUAAUUCUCCAAUCUAGAAAAAUGAGUGGAUGAAAAACAGGAGGAGUACGAGAGGAAAGACAUGGCUGAGAGGGUUGUGUCCAAAUUGUUGGCCGUUCUAUAGACUCGGCAAGACAGGAGCCAAGCUCAUGCCGGAGGUGCAGCACAAGUAUGAAAAGAACUUUGAAAGAUUGGCGAUGACUCCCCCUCUGAGUUGGAGGGGGUAGUAGACUUAGAAGCCACACCAAUUGAUGACCAACCGAUUGCGAGAUCAAUUACGCAAAAGGUUCUUGAUUGCAUAAAUGAUGAAAAGAAUCAGGUUAUUGGUGUGUAUGGUAUGGGGGGGAUCUGGAAGACGGCUCUAAUUGAAAAUGUUCAUAAUCAGCUCUAAUCUAAUUCUAGUUUUGACAUUGUGAUAUGGGUUAAAGUGUCUCUUAAUCCAAAUAUGGGAUGCAUGCAGAGGUUUUGGGCCUCAAUUUGUCCAUGGUGAAUAUUGAGAAGGUGAAAGAUGAGCUGUUGAAGAUUCUAAGAACUAAUAGGUAUUUGCUGAUUUUGGAUGAUGUGUGGAAGAGAUUGGAACCGAAAGAAAUAGGAAUUCCCUGCCCAACUGUUAAGAAUAUGGAGGCCAACAUAAGCAUUGAAGUAAAGAAAUUACCAGAGCCAGAAGCAUGGAGUAAGCGGGUUCCCAUAUCACCUCUGCAUCAAAAAAACCCCAUGCCAAAAUCAUUCUAAAACAAUGUGAUGGUUUACCUCUUGCUAUUAUCGCAGUUAUACAGGCUAUGGCCAACAAAAAUACAAGUGGAAUAGUGGGAGGACGCCAUAUCCGAAUCAAGCAGUCUGCUUCAAAUUUAUGCGCCCUUCUUUAUUCCUCCCCUAUGAGUAGAAUGAUGAGCUCCUCAAGCUUUAGAGCAGUUUGCGGGGUUGAAAGUGAAGUGACGAAUGACUCCCAUGAAUUCGGCAAUGAGUUCAUCAAGUGAACCACCUGCAUUGGUUCUAUUGAUCGCAUGCCAGUUGCCUCCAUCUCUCGAACUAGAGCACGGAAAACAUGCACAUGAUCAGAUAUCUUUGCUCCCUUGUUCAUCUUCCACUCGUUAUAUUUCUUCAUGGCCAUAGCCUGCCUCAUCACAGUUGUAUCCGCAUAUUCUUUCUCGAGCCUCUGUGCAUUCCUUUCGCGGUCUUUAUUAACUCAUACUCAAAUACGUAUGAGUCAAUCAUUGAGAGCAUAUGAUGAUAUUCCUAGCACA